AAAACAUGGCUUGUUGUUUAUGAUUUCAGGUCUAACCUGCCCAAUGAUUAAUUAAAUGGCCGCGGUAUUUUAACUGUGCAAAGGUAGCAUAAUCAUUAGUUUUUUAAUUGGAAGCUUGAAUGAAAGGUUUAAUGAGAAAAAGGCUGUCUCUUAAAAAGUUUAUUAGAAUUUUAUUUCUAAGUGAAAAAGCUUAGAUUUUUAUAGAAGACGAGAAGACCCUGUAGAGUUUAAUAAGUAGCCAUUUGUUUAAGGAUAUGGGAUUGGAACUUGAUUUUAGGCCUGCUUAUUUUAUUGGGGUGAUAGGAAAAUUAGUUUAACUUUUCUUUAUAAAUAUAUAGAUACAUAGAUUUAUGAUCCUGAAGUUCAGAUUAAAAGAGUAAAUUACCUCAGGGAUAACAGCGUAAUUUUUUUUAGAGUUCUUAUCGAAAAAAUAGAUUGCGACCUCGAUGUUGGAUUAAAAUAAACUGUUGGUGAAGGCGCUAAUAGGUUAGGUCUGUUCGACCUUUAAAAUUUUACAUGAUCUGAGUUUAAACCGGCGUGAGCCAGG
rnacentral:rRNA from 1 species